UACGUAGGGUGCGAGCGUUGUCCGGAAUUACUGGGCGUAAAGGGCUCGUAGGCGGCCCUCUCAGUCGGAUGUGAAAUCCCCAGGCUUAACCUGGGAAUGGCAUCCGAUACUGGAGGGCUUGAAUUCGGGAGAGGGAUGCAGAAUUCCAGGUGUAGCGGUGAAAUGCGUAGAUAUCUGGAGGAAUACCGGUGGCGAAGGCGGCAUCCUGGACCGAGAUUGACGCUGAGGAGCGAAAGCGUGGGGAGCGAACAGG
rnacentral:rRNA from 1 species